rnacentral:rRNA from 1 species
UACGGAGGGUGCAAGCGUUAUCCGGAUUUAUUGGGUUUAAAGGGUCCGUAGGCGGACUGGUAAGUCAGCGGUGAAAUCUCAUAGCUUAACUAUGAAACUGCCGUUGAUACUGUCAGUCUUGAGUGUAGUUGAAGUAGCUGGAAUGAGUAGUGUAGCGGUGAAAUGCAUAGAUAUUACUCAGAACACCAAUUGCGAAGGCAGGUUACUAAGUUACAACUGACGCUGAUGGACGAAAGCGUGGGGAGCGAACAGG